AUUUUUAACAAUGGAUCUCUUGGCUCUCGCAUCGAUGAAGAACGCAGCGAAAUGCGAUAAGUAAUGUGAAUUGCAGAUUUCAGUGAAUCAUCGAAUCUUUGAACGCACCUUGCGCUCCUUGGUAUUCCGAGGAGCAUGCCUGUUUGAGUGUCAUUA
rnacentral:rRNA from 1 species